GGAAGUGACGUCGUGUGGGGUGGGUCCGGCCGCGCACAAUGGGCCAUGGAGUUCCCGUUCGAUGUGGACGCGCUGCUCCCGGAGCGGAUCACAGUGCUCGACCAGCACCUGCGGCCCCCGGCCCGCCGACCCGGAACCACAACGUCGGCUCGUGUUGAUCUGCAGCAGCAAAUUAUGACCAUUGUAGAUGAACUGGGCAAGGCUUCUGCCAAGGCUCAGCAUCUUUCUGCUCCCAUCACCAGUGCAUCGAGGAUGCAGAGUAACCGCCAUGUUAUUUAUGUGCUGAAAGACACUUCAGCCCGACCGGCUGGAAAAGGAGCCAUUAUUGGUUUCCUCAAAGUUGGAUACAAGAAGCUCUUUGUACUGGAUGAUCGUGAGGCUCAUAAUGAAGUUGAACCACUUUGCAUCCUGGACUUUUACAUCCAUGAGACUGUGCAACGCCAUGGCCAUGGGCGAGAACUCUUCCAGUAUAUGUUGCAGAAGGAGCGAGUGGAACCACACCAACUGGCCAUUGACCGACCAUCACAGAAGCUGCUGAAAUUCCUGAAUAAGCACUACAAUCUGGAGACCACAGUCCCGCAGGUGAACAACUUUGUGAUCUUUGAAGGCUUCUUUGCCCAUCAACAUCGGCCCCCUGCUCCCUCUCUGAGGGCAACUCGACAUUCCGGUGCUGCUGCGGCCGAGCCCGCGCCCGCUGCUCCACCAAGGAAGCUGCCACCCAAGAGAGCAGAGGGAGACAUCAAGCCAUACUCCUCUAGUGAUCGAGAAUUUCUGAAAGUAGCUGUGGAGCCUCCUUGGCCCCUAAAUAGAGCCCCUCGUCGUGCCACCCCUCCAGCUCACCCACCCCCUCGCUCCAGCAGCCUGGGAAACUCACCAGAACGGGGUCCCCUCCGCCCCUUCGUGCCAGAGCAGGAGCUGCUGCGUUCCCUUCGCCUCUGCCCCCCACACCCCACUGCCCGCCUUCUGCUGGCUGCUGACCCUGGGGGCAGCUCAGCCCAACGUCGCCGCACCAGCUCCCUUCCCCGCUCUGAUGAGAGUCGAUACUGACUGCCACCUCUCCCCUCUCUACGAGACCCCCCUUCCUGAGAACCUCAGAUCCCUUCUUCUAUUGCAUUCUUUAGGACCCAGUGGAAACUAACAGAGCUCAUAGGAUUCCCUCUUCCCCCUUUUUUGGACAACUGGGUUGUCAGGGUCCCAAAUGGCCUAACACUUUGUAGCUUUUCUUACCACAAAAUCACCCCUCCUCACUUAACUUGGGCUCUGAAUACUCUCCCCACAGACAGCCUGAUCCGUUGCCAGCCCCCUUGGUUGGGUGGCUCAUACUAAUUUUCUAGAGAAGCAUUCUUGCUUGCUGUCACUCUAGAAUACCAUGGAAGGUCCAAGGGCUUCCUCUGCGAGGGCAACCUUUUAAGGAGUCUCAUCCAUGAAAUAAACCCCAUGUUUCCCCUACAGUGUCUGCUGGUGGCUCGAAUGCUGCUUUGUGCUGCCUGCCACAUUUGCCGUUUGAGCCUGCUAAUGCCAGCAACGAGUGAGCUCUGCUUCAGAGCAGUCCAGUUACGUAGGACAGGGACUUACCAGCUCCCCAAAGGGAUCCACUCAACGUUGCCAGACUCUUAAUUUCCACUUGUUUUGUGUGUCAGGGAACCCCAAAUCGAUGCUUCUUUGGGAUCUCUAAAGGAGACUGGCUGACACCACCACUUCCUCCAGAUCCAGAGUCUCCGAGGCACUUUGUUUUUUGGCAGUAGAUCCCAGCAAAAACCCCAGGACCACUCUUAGCCAUUUUUCAGAAAAUGAGUCAAGGAUCUAUUAGAUCCUAGAAUCCCUUCUCACACCCGUCCUUCCCUGGAAGUUAGAUGCUAAUAUAUUUGUGUCUUGAGACUGUCUUGAGAUGGGAGACCAUGCUUCCGAAUCUGGCCUUUCUCUCUUCUUUCCUCUGUAGCAAGAACCUCCUUCCCUGCUCCAUGCCCAGGGUGUAGCUAGAUGUUCCCCCUUCCUACCCUCUGACCGUAUGGUAGAUCAGGUACCCUACUGUAUUCCCUCAAACCCUUGGGAGCCGGAUCUCCCCCCACCCCCAACUCACUCCUCCAUAUUCUUCCACUUAGUGUUGUCUGAAUAAAGUGUGAAUUCUUUUGUGUUUUCUAAAUUGACAUUUUCAAUGGGGAAAAAAAAAGAACUACACACAAAAAAACCACCUUAAGGUGUCAGCCUCAUUUAUGCAUUACCCUGUAUUUUCCUGGGAUCUCAGGACUAAUAUCCAUCUCAUUUUCUUCACUUCUGAGGUCUGCAGAUCUUUUACCAAGGAGCCUCAGAGCUCCCCUUCCAGGAUCUGGUUUCUGGCCAUCCCCAUCUUCAUUGCUGGUUCUUCUGUGGAGUCUUGGGUCUCCUCUUAUGUAGUUGCUGUAUCCCUCUGUCUAGGCUUCUCUACCUACUCCCCAUUCCCUCCAAGAACCUCUAGUUCUCCCUAGUGACUUCUACCCUUUACCCCAGGCCAGCCCCUUUCUGAGGUCAGUUGUCAAGACUGACCAACAUCUCUGGAUUCCUCUUCCCAGUAUGUGAUUUCCUGAUGUGUGUCCCACUUCACCCUUGGAUCUCUCUCCCCUACCUCCACUGAGAGUCCAACACAGUCUGGCACCCUGUUCCUGAGGCUACUUUCCUUUUCCUCCUAAAUUCAGCCUUGUAACUCCCUAUAUCCCUCUGGUCUGAGGUAUCUUAUACUUGAGGUAACCAUGUUUUCUGAGCCAAAUAUCAGGGUACCUGGUCCUACAAAUUCUUUUUUGCCUAUAUAUGACUCUGUUCUUAAGAUUUGGGUCACAUUUAGCCAUACAUUGAACACCUUACCUCAGCCAGAAAGAAUAAAGCAACAAAUCAGGACUGCUCCAGAAAAUCUUCGGGUAUAUAAUGAGCUCCUUGUCCCCUUCUCUCUGUUCCUGCCCUGUUCCUCUCCUCUGAUUCCUCCAUACUCACCCAUCUUUCAUCCUGUAGCCUCUUCCCCAUCAUCUCCCAUUUCUUCUACAGGGGGACUCCCCCAGGGCUGGUGGCCCAAAGGUGCUGCUACAGCCGCCAUGGGGGGUUGAAUUCCUCAUCUCCCAGUGCAGGCAACCAAGAUUCGAAGCAG